AGACAGCAGCCGCCGCGGUAAUACGUAGGUCCCGAGCGUUGUCCGGAUUUAUUGGGCGUAAAGGGAGCGCAGGCGGUUUAGUAAGUCUGAAGUUAAAGGCAUUGGCUCAACCAAUGUAUGCUUUGGAAACUGUUAGACUUGAGUGCAGAAGGGGAGAGUGGAAUUCCACGUGUAGCGGUGAAAUGCGUAGAGAUGUGGAGGAACACCAGUGGCGAAGGCGACUCUCUGGUCUGUAACUGACGCUGAGGAGCGAAAGCGUGGGGAGCGAACAGGAUUAGAUACCCCGGUAGUCCCUGUCUCUUAUACA
rnacentral:rRNA from 1 species